GCGCGGGGCAACCUGGCGGCGAGUGGCGAACGGGUGAGUAAUAUAUCGGAACGUACCCAAGAGUGGGGGAUAACGCAGCGAAAGUUGCGCUAAUACCGCAUACGAUCCAAGGAUGAAAGCAGGGGACCGCAAGGCCUUGUGCUCCUGGAGCGGCCGAUAUCUGAUUAGCUAGUUGGUGAGGUAAAGGCUCACCAAGGCGACGAUCAGUAGCUGGUCUGAGAGGACGACCAGCCACACUGGAACUGAGACACGGUCCAGACUCCUACGGGAGGCAGCAGUGGGGAAUUUUGGACAAUGGUAGCAAGCCUGAUCCAGCAAUGCCGCGUGAGUGAAGAAGGCCUUCGGGUUGUAAAGCUCUUUUGUCAGGGAAGAAACGGCUGUGGCUAAUAUCCACGGCUAAUGACGGUACCUGAAGAAUAAGCACCGGCUAACUACGUGCCAGCAGCCGCGGUAAUACGUAGGGUGCAAGCGUUAAUCGGAAUUACUGGGCGUAAAGCGUGCGCAGGCGGUUUUGUAAGUCUGACGUGAAAUCCCCGGGCUUAACCUGGGAAUUGCGUUGGAGACUGCAAGGCUAGAAUCUGGCAGAGGGGGGUAGAAUUCUACGUGUAGCAGUGAAAUGCGUAGAGAUGUGGAGGAACAUCGAUGGCGAAGGCAGCUCCUUGGGUCAAGAUUGACGCUCAUGCACGAAAGUGUGGGGAGCAAACAGGAUUAGAUAUCCCUGGUAGUCCACGCCCUAAACGAUGUCUACUAGUUGUCGGGUCUUAAUUGACUUGGUAACGCAGCUAACGUGUGAAGUAGACUGCCUGGGGAGUACGGUCGCAAGAUUAAAACUCAAAGGAAUUGAC
rnacentral:rRNA from 1 species